GAGAGCAAGCUCCGUCGAUAGGUCUUACCAGCAACAGCCCUGCUGCAGCAAGAGGGGAGAGAGGCAGCAAGAGAGGCAGAGAGGGCUCCAAAAAGAGAAGUAACACUAACACCAGGGACUGUGCUCCUGCCACCAUCCAGUGUCCUUUAGAGAUCGCAUUCGGGCUCGCUUGGCGUAGGAGGCUUCGCCCAUUGACGAUGCUGGAGACCCGGCGCGCUUAAUCCCACGGGGAGGGAGAGUGGGCAGACACCAAAAGGGUUAACGGAAAGGAAAUUUCUGGAACCUUCUAUUCUGCGGCGCUACACAGCGAGCGGAGGGCUGAGGACUGCGCAGAUGGUGCACGGGCAGAGCUCUUCGGUCCGGUUCGUCUUUCUCACUGACCAGCAAUGAAGAUGGCAACUCUGGAAGUGCUGAGGACACAACCAGCUUUGAGCUUGGUCCUUCUGGCCGAGGAAGCCUCCUGAUUAUGCAGUGGAGUGGGAAGGCUCUCUGAAUGACGCGACAGCCAUGAUCUCCUGCUGCACUUGUUUUGCCGAUGGUCAUGUUACAUCUGUGACGCAGCCCGAUUUUGCUGUUGGCUCCUGUCUGUGCUUUAUGGAGUUGAGCUGAGGAAGGCAGAAGCUUGAAUACGGUUAGAAACAUUCAUUUAAUAUGGAUGGUAAAGUUCACAACCAUACCUGAAGUGGCAGGGAUACUGGCAUCCUCCUAUCUCCCCACCCGCAGAUGGUGAAGGGAUCUGGAUGAACACAACAGCACCUCUGGCCAUUUUGUUGCUCGCAGGGUAGGCUCUGAGCCUGCAGCACUGCUGCUGCUGCUGCUGUUAAUUUCCAUGUUACACAAAUACUGCGUCGGGCUCUGUGUCAGGAGCUUUACUGAUGCUGUGAGAAGCUUUGAGUCUACAAGUAAAUGUUUUGCUUGUCUUAUUUGGGAAUAUUCAUUAAAAUAUCCAAAUGCCAA